rnacentral:rRNA from 1 species
UACGUAGGGUGCAAGCGUUGUCCGGAAUUAUUGGGCGUAAAGAGCUCGUAGGCGGCUUGUCGCGUCGGUUGUGAAAUCUCCACGCUUAACGUGGAGCGUGCGGUCGAUACGGGCAGACUUGAGUUCGGUAGGGGAGACUGGAAUUCCUGGUGUAGCGGUGAAAUGCGCAGAUAUCAGGAGGAACACCGGUGGCGAAGGCGGGUCUCUGGGCCGAUGACUGACGUGAGGAGCGAAAGCGUGGGGAGCGAACAGG